rnacentral:rRNA from 1 species
GGAAGAACAUCGGUGGCGAAGGCGCUCUGCUGGACCAUAACUGACACUCAGGGAACGAAAGCGUACGGGGAGCGAAGUGGGUAUUAGACUACCCCAGUACGUCCUAGACCGGUAAACAGUGGAUACUAGGUUGUUGUCUGUAUCGACCCGGACAGUGCCGUAGACUAACGCGUUAAGUACUCCCGCCGUGGGAGUACGCACGCAGGUUAGAACUACAAAGGAAUUGGACGGGGCCCGCAACAAGCGGUGGAGCAUGUGGUUUAAUCGAAGCAACGCGAAGACCUUACAGGUCUGACAUUCUUUGAUCACCUGAGAGAUGUACGGUUCCCUUCGGGGGCAAAAUGACAGGUGGUGCAUGGUUGUCGUCAGCUCGUGUCGUGAGAUGUUGGGUUAAGUCCCGCAACGAGCGCAACCCUUAUGACUAGUUGCCAGCAUUAGUUGGGCACUCUAGUAAGACUGCCGGUGACAAACCGG